CAGCAGUAGGGAAUCUUCCGCAAUGGACGAAAGUCUGACGGAGCAACGCCGCGUGAGCGAAGAAGGCCUUCGGGUCGUAAAGCUCUGUUGUUAGGGAAGAACAAGUACGAGAGUAACUGCUCGUACCUUGACGGUACCUAACCAGAAAGCCACGGCUAACUACGUGCCAGCAGCCGCGGUAAUACGUAGGUGGCGAGCGUUGUCCGGAAUUAUUGGGCGUAAAGCGCGCGCAGGUGGUUCUUUAAGUCUGAUGUGAAAGCCCACGGCUCAACCGUGGAGGGUCAUUGGAAACUGGGGAACUUGAGUGCAGAAGAGGAAAGUGGAAUUCCAAGUGUAGCGGUGAAAUGCGUAGAGAUUUGGAGGAACACCAGUGGCGAAGGCGACUUUCUGGUCUGUAACUGACACUGAGGCGCGAAAGCGUGGGGAGCAAACAGGAUUAGAUACCCUGGUAGUCCACGCCGUAAACGAUGAGUGCUAAGUGUUAGGGGGUUUCCGCCCCUUAGUGCCGCAGCUAACGCAUAAGCACU
rnacentral:rRNA from 1 species